rnacentral:rRNA from 1 species
GUGGGGAAUUUUGGACAAUAGGCGCAAGCCUGAUCUAGCAAUGCCGCGUGCAGGAAGAAGGCCUUCGGGUUGUAAACUGCUUUUGUACGGAACGAAAAGGCUCUGGUUAAUACCUGGGGCUCAUGACGGUACCGUAAGAAUAAGCACCGGCUAACUACGUGCCAGCAGCCGCGGUAAUACGUAGGGUGCAAGCGUUAAUCGGAAUUACUGGGCGUAAAGCGUGCGCAGGCGGUUUUGUAAGACAGGCGUGAAAUCCCCGGGCUCAACCUGGGAAUGGCGCUUGUGACUGCAAAGCUGGAGUGCGGCAGAGGGGGAUGGAAUUCCGCGUGUAGCAGUGAAAUGCGUAGAUAUGCGGAGGAACACCGAUGGCGAAGGCAAUCCCCUGGGCCUGCACUGACGCUCAUGCACGAAAGCGUGGGGAGCAAACAGGAUUAGAUACCCGUGUAGUCC